rnacentral:rRNA from 1 species
UCAAGUUAUUAAGGGUGCAGGGCGGAUGCCUUGGCACUAGGAGCCGAUGAAGGACGUGAUAAGCUGCGAUAAGCUUCGGGGAGUUGCACGUAAACUUUGAUCCGAAGAUUUCCGAAUGAGGAAACUCACUUAGAGUAAUGUCUAAGUAUCAUUAAGUGAAUACAUAGCUUAAUGAGGGGAACUCAGGGAACUGAAACAUCUAAGUACCUGAAGGAAGAGAAAGAAAUUCGAUUCCGUAAGUAGCGGCGAGCGAACGCGGAUUAGCCCAAACCAAUAAAGUUUUCUUUAUUGGGGUUGCGGACAUAUCAUAACGAAGAGGUAUCGUAAUUGAAGAGGUUUGGAAAGACCCACCACAGAAGGUAAUAGUCCUGUAUGUUAAACGAGAAGACUUUAGAUAUGAUCCAGAGUACCACGGGACACGUGAAACCCUGUGGGAAGCAGGAGGGACCACCCUCCAAGGCUAAAUACUACCUAGUGACCGAUAGCGUAUAGUACCGUGAGGGAAAGGUGAAAAGAACCCCGGGAGGGGAGUGAAAUAGAACCUGAAACCCUGCACUUACAAGCUGUGGAAGCACAUUUCUUGUGUGACCGCGUACUUUUUGUAGAACGGGCCAACGAGUUACGUUAAGUAGCAAGGUUAAGCACUUAAGGUGCGGAGCCGUAGCGAAAGCGAGUUUUAACUGAGCGUUCAGUUACUUGACGUAGACCCGAAACCGGGCGACCUACCCAUGAGCAGGAUGAAGCGAAAGUAAAAUUUCGUGGAGGUCCGAACCCACGAGCGUUGAAAAGCUCGGGGAUGACUUGUGGGUAGCGGUGAAAUUCCAAUCGAGCCCGGAGAUAGCUGGUUCUCCCCGAAAUAGCUUUAGGGCUAGCCUCAAGGUGAGAGAUACGGAGGUAGAGCACUGAAUGUCCUAGGGGGUAUUGCACCUACCGAAGACUAUCAAACUCCGAAUGCCGUCAUCUUAUACUUGGGAGUCAGACUGUGGGUGAUAAGAUUCAUAGUCGAAAGGGCAACAGCCCAGAUCGUCAGCUAAGGUCCCUAAAUGUAAGUUAAGUGGUAAAGGAUGUGGGAUUGCACAGACAACCAGGAUGUUGGCUUAGAAGCAGCCACUCAUUCAAAGAGUGCGUAAUAGCUCACUGGUCGAGUGAUCCUGCGCCGAAGAUUUCCGGGGCUAAAACUUACUACCGAAGCUACGGCAUCAGUAAUGAUGGGUAGGGGAGCUUCCCAUACGGGUUGAAGCAUGACCGUAAGGACAUGUGGACAGUAUGGGAGUGAGAAUGUUGGCAUGAGUAGCGAGAUGUGGGUGAGAAUCCCACAGGCCGUAAACCCAAGGUUUCCAGGGGAAGGUUCGUCCGCCCUGGGUUAGUCGGGACCUAAGCUGAGGCCGAAAGGCGUAGGUGAUGGACAACAGGUUGAUAUUCCUGUACUACCGAUAACCGUUUGAGAGAAGGGAUGACACAGUAGGAUAAGCUAAGCACACUGUUGGUUAUGUGUGCCCAAGCAUUGAGGCAGUCAAAGCAGGCAAAUCCGCUUUGAUAAUGCUGGGAUGUGAUGGGGAGCGAAAUUUAGUAGCGAAGUAGCUGAUUUCACACUGUCAAGAAAAGUCUCUAUCGAGGUUAAAGGUACCCGUACCGCAAACCGACACAGGUGGGUGAGGAGAGUAUCCUAAGGCCAGCGAGAGAACUGUUGUUAAGGAACUCGGCAAAAUGACCCCGUAACUUAGGGAUAAGGGGUGCCACCAUCCGGUGGCCGCAGAGAAUAGGCCCAAGCGACUGUUUACCAAAAACAUAGGUUUCUGCUAAGUCGCAAGACGAUGUAUAGGAGCUGACGCCUGCCCGGUGCUGGAAGGUUAAGGGGAUCUGUUAGAGCAAUCGAAGCAGUGAACUUAAGCCCCAGUAAACGGCGGCCGUAACUAUAACGGUCCUAAGGUAGCGAAAUUCCUUGUCGGGUAAGUUCCGACCCGCACGAAAGGCGUAACGAUUUGGGCACUGUCUCAACAACAGACUCGGUGAAAUUGUAAUUCCGGUGAAGAUGCCGGAUACCUGCGACAGGACGGAAAGACCCCAUGGAGCUUUACUGUAGCUUGACAUUGGGUCUUGGUACUACAUGUACAGGAUAGGUGGGAGGCUUUGAAACCAGGACGCCAGUUUUGGCGGAGCCAUCCUUGGGAUACCACCCUUGUAGUACUGGGACUCUAACCAUAGGCCAUGAAUCUGGUCUUGGGACACUGUCAGGUGGGCAGUUUGACUGGGGCGGUCGCCUCCCAAAAGGUAACGGAGGCGCUCAAAGGUUCUCUCAGUACGGUCGGAAAUCGUACGUAGAGUGUAAAGGCAAAAGAGAGCUUGAUUGCAAGACAUACAGGUCGAGCAAGGAUGAAAAUCGGACUUAGUGAUCCGGUGGUUCUGCGUGGAAGGGCCAUCGCUCAACGGAUAAAAGCUACCCUGGGGAUAACAGGCUUAUCUCCCCCAAGAGUCCACAUCGACGGGGAGGUUUGGCACCUCGAUGUCGGCUCAUCACAUCCUGGGGCUGUAGUAGGUCCCAAGGGUUGGGCUGUUCGCCCAUUAAAGUGGUACGCGAGCUGGGUUCAGAACGUCGUGAGACAGUUCGGUCCCUAUCCGUCGCAGGCGUAGGAAAUUUGAGAAGACCUGUCCUUAGUACGAGAGGACCGGGAUGGACGUACCUCUGGUGUACCAGUUGUCCUGCCAAGGGCAUGGCUGGGUAGCUAUGUACGGAAUGGAUAAGCGCUGAAAGCAUCUAAGCGCGAAGCCAACUUCAAGAUAAGAUUUCCCACCGCAAGGGUAAGACCCCAGAAAGACUAUCUGGUUGAUAGGUCGAAGGUGUAAGUGCAGCAAUGUAUUUAGCUUAUCGAUACUAAUAGGUCGAGGACUUGACCAA